rnacentral:rRNA from 1 species
UACGAAGGGGGCUAGCGUUGCUCGGAAUUACUGGGCGUAAAGCGCACGUAGGCGGAUUGUUAAGUCGGGGGUGAAAUCCUGGAGCUCAACUCCAGAACUGCCUUCGAUACUGGCGAUCUCGAGUUCGGGAGAGGUGAGUGGAACUGCGAGUGUAGAGGUGAAAUUCGUAGAUAUUCGCAAGAACACCAGUGGCGAAGGCUGCUCACUGGCCCGGUACUGACGCUGAGGUGCGAGAGCGUGGGGAGCAAACAGG